CUGAAGCCAAUCAAGCUGACAGUUAAGCUUAACUGUCACAUUGCCUUACCUGAUGAAUUUUUAGCUGGACCUCAACUUGAGCAGUAGGCUUGUGUGCUGCAGAAGAAGGUUAUUCCAUUUGUACCACCAAAGUUAGAUCAGAUUCUUCUAAAGAGCAAAGUGAGGGGCCGGGAAGGAAGCUACAUCAUUCCAAGUUACACCCCCAGUGACCUGCCUCUUCCGACUAGACCCCUCCUCUUAACAGCAAGUCAGCAAUAUGGCUCUCUUCUUCCUGGACACCAUGAUGUGGGCAGCAUUCCUCUGCUAUUGGUCCUCCCGCCAUGCCCUUCCUGCCUUGGAGUUGAUCAACCACAGAUUGAAAAGGUCCUGGGCAUGCAAAGAUAAAUUAUGCAGAAUGUGACUUAGGAGACAUUCAUACCAGUUGAGGAGACAGACAUUUAAGCUAAUAACUAUAAUAC